ACAAUUUAUUUUAGAGGAUAUCCGUCUAUUUUACGAUUAUAGCAACCACGAAAAAUCAGUACAGGCAAUCGUUUUAACAGUGCACGGAUCGGAGUAUAACCAAAGUUGACUAGAGUUCAAUUUAAGUCAGUUCUUUAGCAAUAAAAAAAAAAAAGUUCAGUAAAGCACUGGUUAUCUUCCAAGGCAGUAGCAGCCAAACUGGUAUUCACUGAUUUUGCUAAUUCUUCGCAUCCAAACUGCCGUCAUGGAUUUCGCUUGAAUAGCGAUGAUACCUGUUUGUCUAUUGCCGACAAAUGUGGCAUCUCCCUGUCAUCGCUUUAUCACCACAACGGACUUCUAACAGGGGGAUUGAACUGCCACAAUCUUGCAGGUCACUUUCUUUGCUGCUCUAACUGGACGGACAUGCCCAACACGAAUAAAAGGCGCCCAGGACGCAAAUAAAGACAAAAUCUAAACUAAUGAGUCGACUUUUCACAAUUAAAUCUUACGUGAACUAUGAAUAUAAAAGCAUCGUAUCUUAUUAAUCCUCUCCCCUGCUCUCCUUAUUAUAAUUAUACUGUUUGAUCUUAUCUUUUGCUCCUUUAAUAUGUAAUAUCAUCUAAAAGCCUUCAUCUUUGUAUUCUUCCGUUGAAUUUUCCGAAUUGUCUUCAAUCUGUUCAGUACAUGAAAGUCUAACAAAA